rnacentral:sRNA from 1 species
CUUUUCCUGGUUCCAAGUCCUCUUCGAUUCUUCCAUAUA